GAUGAACGCUGGCGGCGUGCUUAACACAUGCAAGUCGAACGAAGCACUUUAUUUGAUUUUCUUCGGAAAUGAAGAUUUUGUGACUGAGUGGCGGACGGGUGAGUAACGCGUGGAUAACCUGCCUCAUACAGGGGGAUAACAGCCGGAAACGGCUGCUAAUACCGCAUAAGCGCACGGUACCGCAUGGUACAGUGUGAAAAACUCCGGUGGUAUGGGAUGGAUCCGCGUCUGAUUAGCCAGUUGGCGGGGUAACGGCCUACCAAGCCGACGAUCAGUAGCCGGACUGAGAGGUUGAACGGCCACAUUGGGACUGAGAUACGGCCCAGACUCCUACGGGAGGCAGCAGUGGGGAAUAUUGGGCAAUGGGGGAAACCCUGACCCAGCAACGCCGCGUGAGUGAUGACGGCCUCGGUUGUUAAAGCUCUGUGAUCGGGGACGAACGGUCGAGCAGACGAAUACUCUGCUGAAGUAGACGGUA
rnacentral:rRNA from 1 species